AUUGAACGCUGGCGGCAUGCCUUACACAUGCGAGUCGAACGGCAGCACGGGUGCUUGCCCCUGGUGGCGAGUGGCGAACGGGUGAGUAAUACAUCGGAACAUGUCCUGUAGUGGGGGAUAGCCCGGCGAAAGCCGGAUUAAUACCGCAUACGAUCUACGGAUGAAAGCGGGGGACCUUCGGGCCUCGCGCUAUAGGGUUGGCCGAUAGCUGAUUAGCUAGUUGGUGGGGUAAAGGCCUACCAAGGCGACGAUCAGUAGCUGGUCUGAGAGGACGACCAGCCACACUGGGACUGAGACACGGCCCAGACUCCUACGGGAGGCAGCAGUGGGGAAUUUUGGACAAUGGGCGAAAGCCUGAUCCAGCAAUGCCGCGUGUGUGAAGAAGGCCUUCGGGUUGUAAAGCACUUUUGUCCGGAAAGAAAUCCUUGGCUCUAAUACAGUCGGGGGAUGACGGUACCGGAAGAAUAAGCACCGGCUAACUACGUG
rnacentral:rRNA from 1 species